rnacentral:rRNA from 1 species
UACGGAGGGUGCAAGCGUUGUCCGGAUUUAUUGGGUUUAAAGGGUGCGUAGGCGGCCCUGUAAGUCAGUGGUGAAAUACUGCAGCUUAACUGUAGCAUUGCCAUUGAUACUGUAGGGCUUGAGUACAGAUGAGGUAGGCGGAAUUGAUGGUGUAGCGGUGAAAUGCAUAGAUACCAUCAAGAACACCGAUUGCGAAGGCAGCUUACUAAGCUGUAACUGACGCUGAGGCACGAAAGCGUGGGGGAUC